rnacentral:rRNA from 1 species
GAAUAGGCAAGCUACCCAUAGGAUUGAUGGAAUAUCAAAUAAGUCUGAAAAGAUGAAAUGAUUUAGUUCGCCUAUGGAUGUACCUAUUGAAUGGAUUAGGUAGUUGGUAAGGUAACGGCUUACCAAGCCAAUGAUCCAUAGUUGGUCUGAGAGGAUGAUCAACCACAGUGGGAAUGAAAAAGGCCCACACGAGCAAAGUCUCGGCAGCAGUGCGGAAUCUUGGUCAAUGGCCGAAAGGCUGAACCAGUCACCUAGAAGGAUGGAUACAUUAAUUUGAUAAAGUCCUAACGAAAGGAGGAU